rnacentral:tRNA from 2 species
GCCCGGAUGGUGAAAUUGGUAGACACAAGGGACUUAAAAUCCCUCAGCAGUAAUGCUAUGCGAGUUCGAGUCUCGCUCCGGGCACCA